AUUCUAUCCUCUUUACAUUUUCUUGUCCUUCACAUUGAGGGUAAUGUUUGGAAUAGUUUUGAGGUGUGGGUGUUUGCGUGCAUUCUUCUUUUUGUGGUUGUAAUUUAUCCUAUUUGUGUGUAUAUGUAAGGUUUUCUCUCUAUUAAUUGUCACCAGAAACACUUUUUAAUGGUUUAUUAGUGUAGACUUAGUUUCUCUCAAGGGUUGGAGAACUAAGAUUCCCUAACUUAAAACAACUUACUUAUUAAUAUUUUAAUAUGUGAAAAUGAAUUUGUGCUGCUGAACAAGACAUGCUGCUGAACAAUACCAUGUAUAUAUAUUUUCUAUGGUUGCUGGAAAUUUCCUCUGUGGUGAACAUGGAGUCUGUUGAUGUUUUUUUCCGUUGAAUGGGAUUUACUUUUUAAAGCAAUAAUACUAGCAAAUAACUGAUAUAAAAACUUUGGUAAAGGCUUGUGUUAAUUUAGUCCAUUGAGUAUGGGUUUGGAAUUCAUAUUGUUUGUAUUUUGUCCUUGUUACCUUUUUUACCUUGUUUACAUGCAAUCCUAACCAGUAAUUGUGAAAUAGAUCAACAACUUUCUACUAAGAGGAAGCAUAGAGACAGUGUUGUGCCACUUUUUUUUUAUGCUAGCAUUUAUGUGCAAGGUCAAGUGAGCCUUUUGUGCUAAGCUAGGCCACCUGUCAUAUUAACAAAACAAGUUUAUGAGGUGAUUCUCUGACAAAUUCUAGGACAUCUAAGUUGAUUCAGGCAAGAAUCGAUCCAUCCAGAGCUCAAAUGCAUUUCCAGUUUGCCCCUCCGCUUCAUCAGUAGGUGGAUUUUCCUAGAAAUUUGCAUCUCUACUUCUGACCGAAUAGCUCUGGAAUUGGUGCUAUUCCCCACACACCCGAAAUUGGCUCUGACGAGAUGGAUCCUGUUGGAUCCCAGAUUCCUACAAGCUACUGAAGGAACCUCCCAGUUACGCAAAAGAACCUGGAAAUGCUACACAUCCACUAAUGCAGCUCUGUCUUCUGAGUAUCCCGGGACAAAUGUCUCUGAGCCAUUUAUAACCUUUGGUGAUGCAUUGCAUAUGUACCAUACUAUCUCAGAAAAGGAUAAUAUUUCCGAUGAUGACUAUAAAAUUUCCUAAGCUGGGCUCGGUCUAGAAGUGGGAAUGAUGUCAAUCCUACAAGGAGUUAAGGAGGAGCUAACUUCUAAAGGAGGCAAGAUGAGAGAAGAAAUACCUAACCCCCAUUCACCUAACUUCCCAUGCAAACAAGGGAGUAUUUUGUUUCCCAUCAGGCCAUCACAUAUUUUUUCCUUCACAUAAAGGGCAAUGUUAAGAUUAAGAUUUGGGGUGAGGGUGUUUGUGUACGUACAUGCUUGAUUAUGUGGUUGUAAAUAAUAUGAUUAAUCUAUCUCCGAUGUGUUGAUUCUGAAGGACCCUUUAUUCAGAAGUGUAUAUAACAAUGUGAAUACUGAAGAAGUUAUGUGUUUUUAAAUGUCAGGUCUAUGCCACGAAGCCUGAUGAGAAACUUAUACGAAAUGCAGCACAUUUGAUGGUAGCAAGGUUGGCAGGAAGUCUUGCUAAUGUAACUUGUUAGGCAUGUACAUCACAUUUAGGAACCUUUACGUGGUUCGGUAUCUAGCAAACUCAGAAGGUCACUUCAGGGCUUGGCCAUAGCAAAUGAUCUUCUAGAGCAGUCGUUUUAGCUGGUGACUAAUGGAAUCACAGGUGACGAUGACACCGAUGAAUGGAAUCCAUCCACUGAUACACAUCUUCCUCGAUUGAUAGCCGCUCUGGAAAUGUUGAGUGCAAGGCUGCGCUGCAAGUAGAACUCGGUCCUUUGUUGAGAGAGGUAUUUCAGUAUUGAUCAUGUUCCAGAGAUGUCCCCUAUUCUUCAACAAUGAGUUGUAAUAGCUGUUCUCGCUUCCGUUAUAGGGGAGUGAUCCUGGCGCCAUCCCUUACUUGCUUUCUACUCAAACAAUCCAAACCAUUUAUGUGGAAAUAGAUCGAUUACUUUCUAUUAGAAGAAAGCAUAGAGACAGUGUUGUGCCACUUUUUUUUAAUGCUAGCCUUUAUGCUCGAGGUCAAACGGAAGCCCUUUAUCCUAAGCUAGGGCACAUGUCACAUUCACAACAACGAGUUUAUGAGAAUCGAUCCACCCAGAGCUCAAAUGCAUUUCCAGUUCGCCCCUCGGCUUCAUCAGGAGCUGGAUUAUCCAGGCAAUUUGCAUCUCUACUUCUGACCAAAUGAGUGCUAGCAUUUACUCAUCUGGCCUUGUUAGGACUUGAAUUGGUGCUAUGCCCCAUAUUAGAAUGAGUUAUUUUGAUGAUACAAUCUCGUUUGUGUGCCUGCUUUAGAUUAUGAAGCACAAGUCCGAAUAGCAGCUGCCAAACAGGAGUUAAGGAGUAUUUUGUUUCCCCUCACAUAUUUUUUCCUUCACAUAAAGGGCAAUGUUAAGAUUAAGAUUUGGGGUCUAUACCACGGAGCCUGAUGAGAAACUUAUACGAAAUGCAACACAUUUGUAGUAGCAAGGUUGACAGGAAGUUAUGCUAAUGUAACUUGUAGGAGUUAUGGAGGAGCCAACUUUUUAGGAGACAAGAUGAGAAAAUAAAUAGCUAACCCCCACCAACUAAUUUCCUCUGCAGACAAAGGAGUGUUCUAUCUCGCCUCACAUUUUAUUGUCCAUCACAUAAAGGGAAAUGUUUAGAUUCAUUUUGGGGGUGUACGUGUUUGUGUGUACUAUGUGCACCGUGUAUUUUAUGUAUCGUGUGAGUGUAGUGUAGUAGUGUAGUGUAGGUGCGCAUUAUGUGUGUUUAGUGUUUAGUGGGUGAACUGUGUGUAUUUUGUGAUUUUGCGUGCAAGGUAUAUAUAUGUGUGUUUGUAGUGUAA